AAAACAACUCUCGGCAACGGAUAUCUCGGCUCUCGCAUCGAUGAAGAACGUAGCGAAAUGCGAUACUUGGUGUGAAUUGCAGAAUCCCGUGAACCAUCGAGUCUUUGAACGCAAGUUGCGCCCGAAGCCUUCGGGCCGAGGGCACGUCUGCCUGGGCUUCACGC
rnacentral:rRNA from 1 species